CACUAACCGCUUCCCUCCCUUCUGCCUUCAAUAAUACAUUUCAACAACAGCCUGCUCUUCAAAUCCCAAAAGGGGGAAGGGCUCAGGUUACACUGAAAGGGGUGGUGGUGUAUUUUUCCUUCAAGACUCAUCACCGCCGAGAUGAUGAGUCUUUUCAUUUUUGUUUCAUUUCCCGCGCAGUCAAAUGAAAGAGUUUGUUUUGUUUUCAUUAACCUGCCAAAUUCCGGGAUGGGGGAAGAAGACGAGAAGAAAUCCAUUUCAUAUGUGACAAUACUCGGCUGCCUUUACUCAAUGUGUCAGGCCAAACUGGCUGAUGACAGAGAGGAGGAGCGCGGCUGCCGCUGCCAGGGCUUGGCUCUCUUCGCGGCAGCCGGGGCUGAAGAUGAGGAUCGAGCCUGGAGUCUUUGCGGAGAGGACCUCGAACCGAGUCUGGGAAGGCAGCAGAUAAAGCCGGAUCGCUUCUGCCUCAGUGCAGCACGUGUCCAAAAACACACACACAAAAAAACCUUGCUCUGAUUUUUCCUGACCGUGCUAACUGAACUCCCUGCCUAUUGAUGUCAGGCAGGCGAUUUCACAAUAUUAUUUUCGGCGGGUAGAUAAGCUUACCCACACGUUUAGAACAUUUGAAGGAGCUUUAAUUCGUUUUAGUCUAUUCUAGUGUGGUUUAAACUUUUUGUAUGUUUUUAAAUAAGUUUGUAAUAUUUUUGUGAUAAUUUUAAUCUGUUUUUUUUUUCCUGGGGGGAUGCAAGGGUACGCAUACCCCUAACAUUUUGUGAAUCUAAGUUUGGCCUCAUUGAGGGGCAGUAUUUCAGUACAAGUAGGAAAAUGAGAGUAAUAUCCCUAAAUAUUUUUUUAAAGAAAAAAAGCACUAAUUUUAAUUCUUGAUUUUUUAAAAAAAACACUUCAAGGUUUUUUGUUUGUUUGAUGGAGCAGUAUAUAGAUUUUAUGAAAAUUAACGAAGAAAUUUUAAAAACUAGUUCCUGGAAAUUGGCCCAUUUCCCUUUCUGCAGAUCUGAAUUCACUCUAUACUUCAGAGAUCCUUCCGCAGUCAGAAUCAAACAAACGGGGAUUUAAAGCAAAGUAAUGUUUACGCUUAAGGUUAUUCAAAAUCAUAUGUCCAUGCUAUCAGGGGAACCUGCCUUCUGUGAGGUACCUUAGAGCAAAAUAUUUGUCCUAGUACGAAAUUAUCCAGUAUGGGACCCCAGAAAUCUUAUCAGGAAUCCAUCAGAAAUAGAUUGAAAGAAUGCUAGAUUUGGGCCACACCAUGUUAUAGCAUCCACACCACCAAAAGAUUGUCAUCAACAAGGUGCCUUACCAUCAUGUCCCAUGGCCAAGAAUAAAACAUACCUCAAAACAGGCGGGGGAACCUGUGACCCUCCAGAUGUUGGCAGACUGCAACACCCACCUCCCCUAACCAUUGGAUAUGCUGGCUGGGGCUGAUGGGAGUCUGGUGUCCAAAAACAUAUGAGAAGAGACACAUUUUACCUCUGCAUUAUACAGAUAACAUGCUUACAUGCGAUAAUAAACAUACAAUUAAAUAGAGAACAAAUCAAAUAAGGAAACUAAAUAAUUUUAUAUUUAGCUACUUUUGCACCACAAACUAACCUUUGGGACACGUAAAUAUUAUCAUUCUUAAUUAUUACUACUAGUGGUUAUUUUUAUAGUCUUUCAGGAUACAAAUCAAAAGCAGCUAACAAGGAAGCAUGACACUAUAUUUUAAAAUUCACGAAAAACAAUAUUAAUUUAUAUAAAGUAAUCAGGUUUCCCAAGGGGUGGCUCUGUUGUGGGCAGAAGAUUGCUCUGCUGGAGCAGAUUUAGAUUCUUUUCAUAUAACUGCUUACUUCUCAUCCAGUCUGCCCCUUUUUGAAGCCACCUUCAUACAACAUUGGCCAUGAUCCAUAUUGAUUUUGUGGUUUUUUGACAAAUAUUGCUCUUUGGCUUGUGUUUUCUUAAAGCAGUUUCAAUCUGAUUAUAAAACUGGAUACGAAGUGAGCAGUAACGUGAACAUAUCCUAACAGGGGUUGUUAUUAUAUAUUUUAACAUUUGUGGUAUGUUUCUCAGGACUGAUGUGUAGAAUGCUUUAACGCAUUAUAUGGUUAGAUGAAAAAUGCUAUUGAUUUUUGAAAGAAAUUUAUAAUAAACAGUAACUUCCUAAUAAAUUAGAGAUGCCUUUGAAGAAGGUUUUGAGAACCUCCAGAUGUGGUCCACAGACAUCUUUAUGACAGGUCUACUCUUAAUGGUUGUGGGAAUUUACUCUUGCUAAUAAUAUACAUUUGAUUAUUAAUAGACGAAAAUAAUUGUACUCUCCCAACAAUUGCACUAUGCUGUUAGACUGCCACAAAGUCUGGAAAAGCCCUGUGUAUCAAUAAGGAAUUUUGCAUCUUAUCUCUUUAUUUUCCAUCUCUAUGGUAGCUGAUAGAAUGCCGCAUCAAGAUCUUUACGAACAUGUGGUUGGUGAAUGAGAUGCCAUAGACAAAGUGGAAGUCCUGUCGCAACAGUCUUCAAUAAAGACCAAGCCUACUGGCUGCUGUUUUGCUCUGGUAUUCCUGGCUGGUGUCCUUGUUUUUUUUGUCCAAAGGAGCCCUCAGAUUUCUCCGUUAACAAUGCCCAAAAUGGAUUCUUUGGAUUUGCUGUUAAGAGGGGGUUCUAGGAAACAUGUAACAUUUAAUAACCUAUAUUUAUUAUACAAAGCAUUUUUACCCUGCUCUUCAGCCCAAAAGGCUCAAAGAACAGCCAACAUAAUGUUAGCAAAUAAGAUGGUUCCUGCCCGCAGACUUCUAAGCUAAAGAAAAAAGAAAAAAGUUUUGCUGUUUCUUCUUAUGUCAAUGCAUUUCUGAAGAUUAACAAACAAACAAAAUGUCCUUGAUUCAUGGGCACAAAAUUUUCUUUAGAAUAUUUGUAUAUAUUGAAAACACUUACAAUAGUCUUUUUGGCUGUGGCUUAAACAAAAGGCCUCUUAGGGCUGCAAUAUUAGUGUGCCCUUCUUCUCCCAAACACAAAAUAUUGUCUAAAACUGAGAGAAACCUCCAGGUCAGUUUGAAUUUUAUCAUAAUUGCACAGGUCUAAGUAUCUGACUUCAUUACAAAAAUCUAAUGCAUGGCCAUCUGCACUUUUUUAUUCAUUACUUAGAACUACCUAAACAAAUAUAGAAAUUUAUUCAUGUAUGCGACUACAGUGGCAAGAAUGUUAUUUGCCCAAAAAUGGAAAGAAAUCGUCCUGAUGAAAGAAGAAUGGAUACAAAAAGUUAUGGAAUAUGCAGAAAUGGCGAAACUUACCAGAAAAAUAAGAAAUCAAGAUAACAAUUUUUAAAUAAAAGAAUGGAAAUGGUUUAUUGAAUAUCUACAAGCAAACUGUAAACAGAUAAGAACAUUGGCAGGAUUAUUGUAAUAACAUGCAAUUUUAUAAGAGUAUAUAUUUAAAGUAGAUGAAUAAAUGAGCAAGUUAAGUUAAUUUAGAAUAUGUAGGAAAUGGAAAAAAAUAAAUUUAAGGAACCGCAGAAAGAGGAGGAAGUAGAGUUAGAAUGAUUGUAAAACUAGUGAAAUGUACAUAAUUGAAAAUCAUAAAUAUUUUUUUAAAAAAUCAUAGCAAACUCAGGAGAUUCCCAUUUUCUUCUCCCAAAUCUCUCUUUCUUUCCCAUUCCCACUUUCUUAGUCCAUUCUCUUCAGUAUAAAGCAUGCGUCUCAAAAAGCUGGAUUUUCUAGGAACAAUACUGGGCUGCUCCAUGUGUUGAUGUGUAUCAGUAUUACCUGUAUCUACAUCAGUAGAACAUUUUGCAUGUACCGCUUGUUCCAUGUUGAGAAUUCAGAACCUUCUUUUGAGCUCUGGAGAAAGGCAGGGCUGUGCAGUGUAGCUCUCUCUCCUUAGAUGUUCUCAUACAAAUCUGCUGUAUUGUUCUCAUACACAUCUGUGAUUUCUUGCGUUAUCUGUCGAGACACCUGUAAAUUGGCAGGGGAGGGGUAAAAAACAUUAUGUUCUGGAAUAGAGGACCCCAUAUAUAAUGGUACAAUCAGUCUCCGGAAUAGAUGCACUGGAGGACACGCCAUGGAUGCAGCCCUAAUAGAAAGUAAAUAUUUAUUUGCUACAACCAUUACUGCUUCAAAAGAGCAGUGCAGCAUGUUUCAGUGCUCCCCUUCAUCUGUAGGAACAUCCAGUUAGUGAAGCAGAACCCUGUCCAUAAAUAUAAAGAGCCCUUUCAAUUGGCAGAGGGAUCCAUCCAAUCAAAACAAGAUAGCAGUUAAAACUGGGCUUGGGCUUGUUAGGAAGGUGGUGUGGCUGCACUCUGUUCCAGGUGAUUGCCAUCAGACUGAGACUCUGCAAUCGUCUGCUUUUCCACCAGGUAUAUAGAGUGAAAAGCUGCCUAGGCAGCACCUUGGUGAUGUACCAAGUGUGCUGCAAAGUGUGCACUUAGUGUUGCACAUGGAGACUUGAAGAUCCCUUGCUUGUUCUGCCGGCACCCAAGUCACUUAGUGUAGAGUCGACCCAGGCCAUCGAGACUGCAUUCCUACAGCCAUCAGCCACCAUGAAUCACCACCGGCAGCAGCAGAACAGCAGGACAGUUCCCAUGAUGCUUGCAACAGUCAAAAUAAUGGUGAUGGUGAUAAGGCACACCCACAUGAGUGCAUUAAUUUCUUCAUUGGCAAAAGCAAUCUUGAUUAGACCGCCAUUAUACACGUGGAGAGUCCCUGGUAGAUGAGGAAAAUGUUAUUUUUUUACAGUUAUCAAUAUUGAGAAAAGUUGCUCAGUCAUCUAUACUUUGGCAACAUCUGCCCAUAGCCUAGAGCAGCCUGUAAGAAGGAUGCAAAUUUUACCAUCUCUGAACUGGAGUGAGAUGACAACAGAUUGAGUAGUCUGACAAUAGAGGAGUGUACACCACGGGUGGAUGGACUUCAGGUUGUCAGAUCUACUUAGCUUUUUACAAGAAUCGAAAGCUCCACCAGCUGGAGUCAGGUACAAAAGACAGAGUUAGAAUUAAAGAACAGGGUGAACACACUGUGUGUCUAGCAAUUUGUUUUCAGGAUCUGAACUCGAACUCCCUGAGGAGGUGGUGAACUCUCCUUCCUUGGAGGUUUUUAAGGUUGGAGGUUGGAUGACCACCUGUCAGAGAUGCUUUAGUUGAGAUUGCUGCAUUGCAGGAGGCUGGACAAAAUGAUCCUCUGGCAACUAGGAUCUCUACAGUUCUGAUUCUAUGAGUGCUCAGUCCUUUCAUGCAAACUUCAGUAAAGCAGUCUAAUUAGAUGGAAAAAGUCAUCUUGCUGUUGCUCUUGUUAAACUAUUGAGAGUCAGAAAUUCUGGCCAAUCUCCUGCAAAUGACUCAGGAAUCUGCCGCUAGAUCAUAGAAUCAUAGAGCUGGAAAGGUCAUUCUAGUCCAGCCCCCUGCAAUGCAGGAAUCUCAACUAGAUCAUACAUGACAGGUGGCCAUCCAACCUCUGCUUAAAAACCUCCAAGGAA